UUACACGGCCAUACAAAAGGUUGAGAUCUUGCCAUGUGCGACAACACAGAUGGACCUAGAGGGUAUUAUGCUAAGUGAAAUAAGUCAGACAGAGAAAGAUGAGU